UACAGAGGGUGCGAGCGUUAAUCGGAAUUACUGGGCGUAAAGCGUGCGUAGACGGCUAUCUAAGUCGGGUGUGAAAGCCCCGGGCUCAACCUGGGAAUUGCAUUCGAGACUGAAUAGCUAGGGUACGGUAGAGGGAAGUGGAAUUUCCGGUGUAGCGGUGAAAUGCGUAGAUAUCGAGAGGAACACCUGCGGCGAAGGCGGGUAGCUGGGCCGACACUGACGCUGAUGCGCGAAAGCCAGGGGAGCGAACGGG
rnacentral:rRNA from 1 species